AUGAUAUACAACUCCAUGAUGAGGAUUCUUGUGAGGAGGGAUUGACUUAAGUCAACCAUUGAAAAGAGGAGAUGCAAUGUCAUGCAGCCUUCUAUCUCCCUUUGAAAAAUAUAUACUGAUGGCAUAGACUGCAGCCAAUCCUUUGAGUUAGGCAGAGGGAGGAACAACCUUGACUACAAUAUGAACUGAGGAAUGUCAGCUGUCAGCUAAUGUGAGAAGAAUUCAUGAAAGUUUUGGUGAGAUAU